AGUGGCGGACGGGUGAGUAACGCGUGGGUAACCUGCCUCAUACAGGGGGAUAACAGUUAGAAAUGACUGCUAAUACCGCAUAAGACCACAGCACCGCAUGGUGCAGGGGUAAAAACUCCGGUGGUAUAAGAUGGACCCGCGUCUGAUUAGGUAGUUGGUGGGGUAACGGCCUACCAAGCCGACGAUCAGUAGCCGACCUGAGAGGGUGACCGGCCACAUUGGGACUGAGACACGGCCCAA
rnacentral:rRNA from 1 species